GCCUUCUUAGCUCAGUUGGUCAGAUCGCCUGCCAAGACAGCUAGCAGGAGGCCACCAGUUCAAAUCUGGUAGAAGGCA